rnacentral:pre_miRNA from 1 species
AAAAAGACAAACCCUGGGUUUCCGUGUCCAACUUUGACUGUCCGUCUUAUAUGAAAUUUUUUUAUAAUUCGUAUUUUUAUUGUUGUUAGAUGAUAAAACAUGAUUAAUACUUUGUGCGUGACUUGUCUUUUUAAUUUUUUUCAUAAUUCUUUUAAAUAAGACGGACGGUCAAAUGUUGGGCACGGAAACCAGGGUUUGUCUUUUU